rnacentral:rRNA from 1 species
UACGGAGGGAGCUAGCGUUGUUCGGAAUUACUGGGCGUAAAGCGCACGUAGGCGGCUCAGCAAGUCAGGGGUGAAAUCCCGGGGCUCAACCCCGGAACUGCCCUUGAAACUGCUAAGCUAGAAUCCUGGAGAGGCGAGUGGAAUUCCGAGUGUAGAGGUGAAAUUCGUAGAUAUUCGGAAGAACACCAGUGGCGAAGGCGACUGACUGGACAAGUAUUGACGCUGAGGUGCGAAAGCGUGGGGAGCAAACAGG